CCUCUUUGUAAAGUAGGUUUCUGCAUCUUUUCUCGGCUACAGAUGAUUAAUAGUAUUUUCUAUACUUUUAUUUUCUGCUGCAGCUGCCAUCCAGCCUCCUACAGCACAAAUCCAUAAGCUACUGCUAUAAGUCACUAGGUGGAAGCAUCUACCUUAAUACCAGCAACAUCACUCCUCAUUAGAGAGAAAGGACAUAUUUUUCACCACACACGCCUGCUAUUUUCCCAGCACGUAAUUGACAGCAUCUGGGAGGGAACCUCGUGAAACUCACUGCAGUCUGCAAUUAGAUCUUUCUGUCAAACUGGGACUCAGAGCCUGCACCCUCCUCUGGAUGUUGUUCACCUACCCCGUGCACGUGGUGAAGACAACUGGCUUAUCUUCCUUUGAAGACGCAGCUGGAAG
ensembl:lncRNA